GGCGGCAUACCUGACAGAAAGUUUGGAUGGCUUUUAAGUACAGCCCCAGGUGCUUCGCGUAGGGGACUCUGGUUUUUGUGUAAGAUGCCGCUGAAACCAGUUGAGAUUUGUCUCUGCGCCCUACUGCAGAAUUGAGGCUUCAGCCCUUAAUACGCUUCUUGCUGUUUUUCUUCCAUCCUAGUUGAUCUCCAGCUGGUGCUGAAUCAGGUAGGGUCAUCGAUGUUAUUACUGCAGCCCAUUCAUUUAUUAAAAUUUUUUUUUAAUACAACAUCAUUAUUGCUAAAGACAAGUCACACUGCUCAGACCACUCUCAACAGGUGAAUUGGGUUAAAAAUAGUUAAUCAACACAAGUUUUACUUACAGUGCUAGCAUCACCUAAACCCUGCCUACUCUAUCACAAAAGAUGGAGACAACAGGCAUGGGAGCUGGUACUGGAAACUUCCUUUCCAUCAGUAUUGCUCAACCUACUUUUCAGAGUAGGUCAGUAUCAUUCCUCAAGUUGUGGAAACUUAAGGGCAAAACGUUCUCUGAAAGUCCCCCAGCAGGCUAACAGCAGAUCUUGGAAAGUCACCCAGAUCUGCAAGUACUCUAUGUCUUUGCAGACUACGGUCUCUGCAAAAAGUCAGUCCUUUUCUAAUUGAUCUGUACACCAUGUUGCUGUAUGGAGAGAGGGAGGAGGAGGAGGUGGUAGCAACCCAGAGAGAGCAUUCCCUUAAAUGCAUGCAGGUAAGCUACAGAUAUAUUGUACUUACCAUAGGCGUUUGGGUGAAAUGGCACUGUCCCAGCCUGGCUCUAACAUAUGUCUUGCUAUCUGUGGCUUAGCCCCAGAGUUCUUCAGCCUGCCUGAAGCAGGAGUCCAAGCUGACAGUAAAUCUGUUCUACCUUACAUCUUGCAGGUGACAACACUAGAGCUGAAGGCCCGGGAAGGAUCCACAGAUAACUCAUCUCUGUGGAGCUGGCUACAUGACUUCACUGUUAGAGGAAAUGGGAAACCUGAAGUGGCUGAGCCAGGCACAUGGUGCAUAGUGCCAUACACGCUACAGAUAAGAAUCAGAUUUGAAAGACGCGACGCAUGUGCCUGAGUCAAGUAUGUACAUAAAUGCUUGAAGGAUCAGGGCCUAAGCCGAACACAUGGUCAAGGUAAGUCUGAAGAAUGCCUGCUCUCAUUUACACGCACUGUAACACCUCUAGUUAUCAACAUGAAAAGUUUUGAUUUUACUUAUCUGCCUUGUUCCUCAGAUGCUGCUCACUUACAAUGCAUCUGUUAUUGGUGGCAAUAAAAUCAAGCUGAAUACAUUCA
ensembl:lncRNA